CACACCGCCCGUCACACCAGGUGGGAGUCAGUUGCUCUAGAAGUCGGUGCGCCAACCUCGUGAGGUAGCCGCCUAAAGAGUGACUGGUAACUGGGGUG
rnacentral:rRNA from 1 species